GGGGCUGCAUUGAUUCGACAGAAUUAUGUUUUGUUUGGGCGCAGGUAGUAGGCAUACUAUAAAUGCAAAAAUAAAAUAAUCGGAAACGAUUUUAAAUUCUCUCCAGCUUUUGCUUAAUUAGUUAAAAGAGGAGCUUCCACUUAGUCUUUACUUGCGAGGUUAAGAAUGGGAGUCAUAAAGCAAGUUAUAUUAUAAAUUUGUUUGUGGUUUAUAAUGAAAAAUGAGCAAACUUUGAAUAAUAAGAGAAGUUGGCAAUCUACAUUAUUAUUUGAGGAUAAAAACCAACUAAACCUGUAGAAGACCAAAUGAAAUGAAUUUUGGACAGGAGUUCGCUACUCCUCAGCUCCACCA
rfam:Clostridium sp. CAG:1000 genomic scaffold, scf24